rnacentral:SRP_RNA from 1 species
GCCGGGCGAGGUGGCGGACACCUGUAGUCCCAGCUACUCGGGAGGCUGAGGCAGGAGAAUGGUGUAGACCCGGGAGGCGGAGCUUGCAGUGAGCUGAGAUCCCGCCACUGCACUCCAGCCUGGGCGAUGGAGCGAGACUCUGUCUCAUUUUUUUUUGAGACAGAGUCUCGCUCCAUCGCCCAGGCUGGAGUGCAGUGGCAUGAUUUCGGCUCCCUGCAACCUCUGCCUCCCGGGUUCAAGCAAUUCUCCUGCCUCAG